CGCCGGAACCGGGAGCCCCGUGAUUGAUGGCAGCGCUGGAACGGAGGGAGCGGAGCGGGGAGCAUCCCCCGGGCCGGGCAGCGCGGGGGGAAAUCACAUCGGGCAUGGCCAGGGAUGAAAGUUGUCCAAACAGUGCAGAGCACAGCAGCUGACAGUCUGAGCACAGCAACAGAACUGGAGACUAUUCUUGAAUCUCAGACACCGUCUUGCAAAUCCAACACAAACCAACUUCCCAAUUCAGCAGUGUGGGAGAUGGCAGAGAAAUCAUCUCCAGUCCCAUCUGUUUGUAUACAGCAUUCUGGAGAUCCUUGAGUGAGCAGAACAGCCACAGCACUCAAUCACCGACAUCAGAGACAACUCAACUUUCACUAAUUGGCUUUCCUAGGAGAUAUGGAGAUCUGCCCCCAUUUCAGAGACUGAAAUAAAAAACAUGCACAGA